GCAGUAUGAGUUGAACUCCUAACUACCUGGCGCUCUUUUGACCAAUCACUGUCUAAGGGCCCUGUAUAAAAGCAGCUAGCUGUCCCCCUUCCGCCCUCUCUUGCUCGUUGGUGACGGAAGUCCUCUACACUUCGGUCGCUCACUCCGUGAGGUGUUUUGCUGUGCUACAGAUCUUCGGUUGGCGGGUUGUCCUUCACCUUACCGGUUGAACGGCCGUGAAUGAAAAGCGAGUAACACUGAUAGCUGCUGCGGUUUGCAUGAUCGGAGCUGCCUCCCUCUGGGUCUACUAAAACUCUGCUUGAACGGAACACUGAAGCUGCCGGAGAUCCCUGUUAGCUGCUUAGCACUUCAACUACAGGCUGCUGUUUUGCCGAGGCUGCUGUUUUGCCUAAGAAGGCUUUUGCCGGGAUUGCUGCUGUCCUUUAAAAAUCCUGAGUAUCGUAACUAUUGCUGCACGCCUGUGUUGCCUUUAGGGCUACUGGGCCAAUGUAUAAACCACCUGUUUUUAUAUGAAUGAAUGUAUGUAGCUGAGGGGUUUGGCUCCCUACAUUAAUUUGGUUGAUUUAGUUGUUUCUUUCUUUACUUUCUUUCCAUUUUUUUCAAUUUAGUUAAAAGUUUUAGUUAUAUUUUUUUUCUU